CUAAACGAUGUCUACUAGUUGUCGGGUCUUAAUUGACUUGGUAACGCAGCUAACGCGUGAAGUAGACCGCCUGGGGAGUACGGUCGCAAGAUUAAAACUCAAAGGAAUUGACGGGGACCCGCACAAGCGGUGGAUGAUGUGGAUUAAUUCGAUGCAACGCGAAAAACCUUACCUACCCUUGACAUGUACGGAACCCUCGAGAGAUUGAGGGGUGCUCGAAAGAGAGCCGUAACACAGGUGCUGCAUGGCUGUCGUCAGCUCGUGUCGUGAGAUGUUGGGUUAAGUCCCGCAACGAGCGCAACCCUUGUCAUUAGUUGCUACGAAAGGGCACUCUAAUGAGACUGCCGGUGACAAACCGGAGGAAGGUGGGGAUGACGUCAAGUCCUCAUGGCCCUUAUGGGUAGGGCUUCACACGUCAUACAAUGGUACAUACAGAGGGCCGCCAACCCGCGAGGGGGAGCUAAUCCCAGAAAGUGUAUCGUAGUCCGGAUCGCAGUCUGCAACUCGACUGCGUGAAGUUGGAAUCGCUAG
rnacentral:rRNA from 1 species